AACCCGUGUCCCCUGCAUCAGCAGGUGGAUUCUUAACCACUGUGCCACCAGGGAAGUCCGCGCACUGGCAUCUUUGACAAGAUGUUAUAUAAGUGGUGUUGAUAUUGCCACCUACCUUCCUUUUCAAACACCAGAAUUGAUAAUGGCCAUUUCCAGUACUUGGGCAAGUUCACAAUUAAGCCGAAGGUGACCGUAAAGGAAGAAGUCAGGCUGACCUGGCUUCAAAUCCUGGCUUCACCACUUUCAGGUAUGAUAGAUUAAAGAUGGCUGCAAAUUCUUUUCUACUCCUCCUCCCAUUGAGAGGCAGACUUGAUUCCCCUUCUCCUUUGACCAAGAGGGUGCAGUAGAAGUGAUGCUAGGGCAGAGAAGACUUGCAGCCCCUGCCUGGCUCUCAGAAUGUUCCUGAGACAUUCCUUCUCAGAGAGGCUGCUGUCGGUACUCUGGGGUGACAGCCCCAGCUAGCAUUUGUGCAACAAAGCUGUGUUUGCACAUCUAGCUCAGUGGAGCCUUCAGAUAACUAACUGUAGCCACAGCCAAUGCCUAAGCGCACCUGCAUUAGAGACCCCAAGUGAGACACCCUCACCUCCAGCUGAGCCUCAGAGAAUCAUAAGCAAUAUAAUAAUGUGUUGUUUUAAGCCAGUACAUAUUGGGUGAGAUAAGCACUCAGAGGUUUAGUUUCCUUCUGUAAAAUGGGCAAAAUAGCGGUAUCCACUUCCUAGAGUUAUUGUGAUAUGAAUGUAAUAAUGGUGGAAGCAUCAAACGCAGUGCUCGGCACACAGUAGGUCUUCAGUAAAUGCCAAGCUCCUGCCUGCCCCUUCUCCAGGAGGCUAUAUAUCCCAGGUAUGAGUGAAUCUUGGCCACUGCUCCAAACUUCCUGGGCAGACACCCAACUUUCCUCAAAGGGAAUGCCUAGGAUCAAAUUUGAAAGUGGGGUUGGAGAGCACUUGAUUUUUUUCUUUCUGGGACAAUCUGUGACCCCUUUAAGAAAAAUAUCACCACCUUGUGUGAGGAAAACGCCAGCAGUUUUUCUGCAGCACCCAGCCCUGCAGAGCCACAGACUGCAUGCACAGUGGGCAGACUUUGUUGAACAGAUGAACAACUGUGGCUUAAUCUGUUUUGGGAAAAGAAAAAAAGUCCUGAAGCAAUUGAUAAACAGGAGGCUGAGGUCAGCGUGAAGGAAGAGUAAAUGAGGCCAGAUUGGGGACCGCUGAAACAUGCUAAAACCCCGCCAAAGGGAAUAAAUUAACUACUAGAUGACCACAAGCAUGUAUCCCGCAGACCUACCGGAGCCUGAGGAUUAAUUAUGUGACACCACCCUGUUACCUCACCAUCAACCAAUCAGAGGAUUGUGCAUGAGCUGAUCACAUACCCUGUGACUCCCCUCCCUCACCUGGUCUUUAAAAAUUCUUUGCUGAAACCCAUCGGUGAGUUCAUGUGUUUUGAGCACUAGAUGCCCUGGACUCCUUGCUUGGUGUCCCGCAAUAAACUCUGCACUUCCCUUCAGAACAACCCAGUGUCAGUAGAUUGGUUUUACUGUGCAUGGGUGAGCAGACCCAAGUUUGGGUUUGGUAACGCCACUGCUAACAUCCCAUUGGCCAAAUCGAGUCACAAGGCCAAGUCCACUCUGCUCACAGUGAGAAGCAGAAAGGAGGAAUAUUUGUUCAACAAUAAUCCCAACUAUCACAGAUGUGAUAAUAUCUGCUGCUAUAGACUAAGUGUUGUGUACCCCCAAAUUUAUAAUUGAAACCUAAUUCCCAAUGUGAUGGUAUUUGGAGGUGAGGUCUUUGGGAGGCGAUUAGGUCAUGAGGGUGGAGCCCUCAUAAAUGGGAUUAAUGCCCUUAUUAAGGGGCACAAGAGACCCCAGAGAGCUCCCUCGUCCCUUCUGUCACGUAAGGACAUAAGGAAAAGGUAGCCAUCUAUGAUCCAGAAAGAUGGUUCAUAGCCAUCCAAAUAUGAACCAAAUCUGCCAGUGCUCUGAUGUUGGGCGGUGGAGUGAUACCCAUUUAAGUAAAUAUAAGUUCAAUUUUGAUUUUCUGACCAUGUCCUGUCCGGUUAUGAAGGUUCUGUCCCAUCCAUGAAACUGCCACUCAAUUUCUACACUCUUUUGGGGAGGCCAUUAUUCUGCUGAUCAUGUGGUCAAACCAGUGACAGGGACAGCCCAGGCUCCAGGGGAGGGGAAAUAGACUCCACUAUCUGAUGGGAGAAAUAACAAAGCUAUUGUGGCUCUUUAACCCACCACAGUAUGCAUCCACUCAUGCAGUCCUCACCACAAACCCAUGAGGUGGGGACUGAUAUUCACAUUUGAAAGUGGGAAACUUGAGAGCAAAGAUGUUGCUAACUUGGCUAAGGUGAGCCAGCUAGUCAGCGGGAGGGCUAGGGUUCCAGCCUAGGCUGUUUGACAGCGGGGCGAGAGCACCAGACACAACGUUGUGCCUGGUGCUCAGCUGAUGUUUGCUUUCUCCUUCCCUAUUGAUUCCAUUUCUUCAGCCCUUUAAGGAUAGGAAGCUGUCACCCCUUGUACCCCAUUAUGUACAGGCUUCUCUCGUACAUGCACUCACAUGCACCUAAGGGCUUGUGGUAAAGUCUCCUUAAAAAAACAGGGUGGUGGGACUCCAGUGGUUAAGAGUCCGCCUUCCAAUGCAAGGGGACGCGGGUUUGAUCCCUGGUCCAGGAACUAAGA